GGGACGUCGAGAUGGACGUCGCCGGUGACAAACCGGAGGAAGGUGGGGACGACGUCAAGUCAUCAUGGCCCUUAUGUCCUGGGCUACACACGUGCUACAAUGGCCGGUACAGAGUGAAGCGAAACCGCGAGGUGAAGCAAAACGCAGAAAGCCGGUCUCAGUACGGAUUGGAGUCUGAAACUCGACUUCAUGAAGUUGGAAUCGCUAGUAAUCGCGCAUCAGCAUGGCGCGGUGAAUACGUUCCCGGGCCUU
rnacentral:rRNA from 1 species